UACGGAGGGAGCUAGCGUUGUUCGGAAUUACUGGGCGUAAAGCGCACGUAGGCGGCUAUUCAAGUCGGGGGUGAAAGCCCGGGGCUCAACCCCGGAACUGCCCUCGAAACUAGAUAGCUAGAAUCUUGGAGAGGCGAGUGGAAUUCCAGGUGUAGCGGUGAAAUGCGUAGAUAUCUGGAGGAACACCGGUGGCGAAGGCGGCAUCCUGGACCGGUAUUGACGCUGAGGCGCGAAAGCCAGGGGAGCAAACGGG
rnacentral:rRNA from 1 species